rnacentral:rRNA from 1 species
GUGAGGAAUUUUCCGCAAUGGGCGAAAGCCUGACGGAGCAAUGCCGCGUGAAGGAUGAAGGCCUAUGGGUUGUAAACUUCUUUUCUCAGAAAAGAAUUAUGACGGUAUCUGAGGAAUAAGCAUCGGCUAACUCUGUGCCAGCAGCCGCGGUAAGACAGAGGAUGCAAGCGUUAUCCGGAAUGAUUGGGCGUAAAGCGUCUGUAGGUUGUUUAAAAAGUAUUCUGUCAAAUAUUAGGGCUUAACCCUAGAUAGGCAGAAUAAACUUUUAAGCUAGAGUUUAGUAGAGGCAGAGGAACUUCCCGGUGGAGCGGUGAAAUGCGUAGAUAUCGGGAGGAACACCAAAGGCGAAGGCACUCUGCUGGGCCAAUACUAACACUGAGAGACGAAAGCGAGGGGAGCAAAUGGGAUUAGAAACCCUUGUAGUCC